GCGCCUGUAGCUCAACAGGACAGAGCAGUGGGUUUCUAACCCAUGGGUUGGGGGUUCGAGUCCCUCCAGGCGCA
rnacentral:tRNA from 6 species